UGACGGUACCUUGAUCGAAGCACCGGCUAACUACGUGCCAGCAGCCGCGGUAAUACGUACGGUGCGAGCGUUAAUCGGAAUUACUGGGCGUAAAGCGUGCGCAGGCGGUUUUGUAAGUCGGAUGUGAAAUCCCCGGGCUCAACCUGGGAACUGCGUUCGAAACUGCAAGGCUAGAGUGUGUCAGAGGGGGGUAGAAUUCCACGUGUAGCAGUGAAAUGCGUAGAGAUGUGGAGGAAUACCAAUGGCGAAGGCAGCCCCCUGGGAUAACACUGACGCUCAUGCACGAAAGCGUGGGGAGCAAACAGGAUUAGAUACCCUGGUACUCCACGCCCUAAACGAUGUCAACUAGUUGU
rnacentral:rRNA from 1 species